UUUUGAAGUACCCUUUCAUUAAACUACUUCCCAUUUUUCCAAAGGACAAACAUUUACUCUCUUUUUUUUUUUGUCAGCUGCCCAUCUAAAUUAGAUCAAGUGGUGAUCAGACGAGCCGAUUCUCCGAAGAACACCUCCGUCUGGUCGGGUCUGAUCUAUAUGGGAAAAAAUAUACUCUUUAUUCCUUUCUUCUUUUGCUAAUGCGUCCUCCCGAUCAUUCCUACUCCGACGAAUAUGAGAUAGGUUCACAUCCUCGAAAUCCUCGUGUAAUCUCUGGAACACCUCGAUCUCUGCCGCAAAAGUUGGCGCCCAAUCCACCGGGUUUAUAGUCAUGUCCGCUAGGUCCGAGCAAUCCGUCUCAAACCAUAUCGAGGUUUUCCUCGUGUUUCUCAUACAUGAGGUUUCCCAAAGUAAACAUUCCAUCUCAGCAUGCAAAGCUGUGAGUUUCCUGCUGCACGUACGUAAUCCAUUUUUUUUUAAAAAAAUAUUUACUCUAUGUUCCCCUAAUAAUUCAUUUUUAAAAAAAAAAUAUUACAGGGUGGUGCAUAAACCGCUAGAGUAAAAUGCUCAUAAUAUAUUAUCACAAUGAAUACUUUUCUCACAAGAAAUGCCACUGCAAAAAAAGUCUACAUUGAUAGCAGAUUAUUAUAACACGUUUUACUGAACUGCUAUCGUAGAUGAUUUAAAUUUUUUCUUAUUAUCUAAUAGCGCUAGAUAAAUGCUACGAUAGAAUAGAACCUAAAAUAGCACUUAAUUAAUGCUAUUUUGAAAAUUAAGUUAGCGGAAAGAUAAAAUCACAGAUUCCGCCAAUAUUUAGCGAUAAAUUAGAUUCAAGCGCCAAAUACAUUAUUUUCGUGGCUUUAGUAAUGCUAUAAAAGACAUAUAAUAGUAUUUUUAUAAUGCUAAAAAAGCUAUUUGAACCCCUAAAUCCUAAACAUAGUUUUAACCCUAAAAAAUCUAAAGACAACCCUUAAAACUCUAAUCUUUUCAAAUUAUAACAUCAAGUCUUAAAAUUAAACUCAAAUUUUAGUAUUCUUAAUCUUAAACUAUAAUUUCUUAAACAUAAAUAUUAAAUCAAACUAUAUAUUCUAAAUUCUAACUUCAAACAUAAACUAUACAUUCAAUACUCUAAAUAUAAACUUCAAAUCUAAAUUAUUAAAAAAUUAACUACUAAUCUUAUAUCUAGUCUUCAAAUCUAUUAUUUUCUAACUUUAAUCCAAAAUAUCAAACUUUAACCCUAAACCUCAUAUUCCAACAUCCAAAUCUUAAAUCACAAAAGUAAACUUUACUCUUAAUCAUAUUUUUUUUACAAACCAUAAAAUCUUAACUUAAAACUUUUAAACUUUUGAAUCAAACGUACAAAUUUAUAAACGAAUUAUAAAUUAGAUUUCUGUGUAAACAUACAAAAUUUUAAAAUGAUGACCAGACUUUAUAUCAUAACACUAUAUUUAAAUAAUUAUAAACUCCAAAACAUAAAUUUUACAUUCUAAAAUUAAUCCAUAACGCUAUAUUUCAAACCCUAAAUUCUAAACAUAAACUCUAUAUCCAAAUCAUAAUCUUGAUUUUAAUUUAAUAUUUUCAAACUUAAACAUCAAUUAUUAAAAUAAAUAUCUAUUGGUUAAGAAAGAAUCACAUGGAUAACCCUGAACCCUAUUACCAAACCCCAAACCAUAUUCCUAAGAUUCCAAUCCUUUAUUACCAAAACCCAAACCAUAAUCCUAAGAUUCCAAACCUUUAUUAAAUCUUAAACAUAGCCCAUAAACUUUGAAUCACAACCAUAAAUCCCAAUAUGACAAUUAUUUCCACACACAGACUUUUAAAACCACUCAAAAUAUCUAAAUAAACUAAAAAGGUGGACUGCUAUUGGUUAAUGUAAGAAAGGUGCAUAUCACUCCUUUUAUAAUCUUAACCGUUGAUGGAGCUUUGAUCUAAUGGAUAGAAUACUUUCAAGAUUUUAUUUUCUUUUUGUUUUAUGUCUUUUCGUCUUUCUUUCUUUCUCUCUUCUUUCUCAGAUCUUCAUCUCUUCUUUCCCUCUACGAAUCUCAUCUCCUCUUUCUUAUUCGGUAGUGCAAGGCGUGGUGUCUUCUCUGUUCAUCCCCUCUUCGUUUUUUUCCGUUCUUCUCUGGUCUUCUCCUCUCCGGUGGUGCAAGGCGGUGUGGCAGAAAUUGAUUUGGAGUUUGAGUCCAAGAGUUGAGAGAAGAAGAAUCAUGGAGAGGACAACCAAGUCUCUGAAACUUGCCUCCGUACGCCUCCUCUCAACUCAUCGCUACCACAACCACCACCGAGGCGCUCAUCCUCACCACUACCUUCCAUUCCAACACACAUUUCACCACCACUAAGUUAAAGAAGGUGGAGGAGGCUGAAGAAGCUUGGUGGCUCGAGGUCGACAAUGGUGGCUGAGCGUGAUGGUUCGAUGACUUGGUGACAUCGUGCUGUUGACGAUGGCGGAGAGAGAGUGACGACGGUGGCGAAGACAGCAGAUGGUGGCGAGGGUGGAGGAGGACAGCAGAUGGUGGCAAGUUUGAAUGGUGGACGGUGGCUGAAGCAUCUAUUAGGUUUAGAUUUAGGUUUAGUUAAUCAAUUUGUUUAGUUAGGUUUACAUUCAUUAAUUGGUUUAGUUAAGAUUAGAGUAAUAUAUUUUUGUAUUAUUGGUUUACUUUUGUAAACCAAAAUUUAUUGUAAACUAAAUAAAAUUUAUAAAUAAAAUUUAUUUGAUAAAUAAAA